rnacentral:ncRNA from 1 species
AUAAAGGUUGUGAAAGGGAAUAGUAGGGAAGAGAGCUUGUCAGAGAAUGAUGCCCUUGGCUGUGAGGUAUCGUCAAGUAAAAUUUUCCGAAACCCACCCUGGAACCGCUGGUGAUAAACCAGUUACGGAGCCCCACCGUUAUUAGAGGGGAGGGUAUAACCUGUACGCAGGCGUACCUGAUUGAGUGGGUACUGUAUUAUUGCAGUAUCAAUUAAGGUGGUAACACGGAAACUUAAGCUUUUCGUCCUUUUA